rnacentral:lncRNA from 1 species
AUGCUGUUCCAGUACGGAGUUUCAUACUUUUUAAGGAGAAGUUUUCCAGAGACGUUUCCAGGAGGCCGUGCUCAUACAGAACAAAAAAGGGGUUCUCCUUACACAGAGCCGGCUGGGGCUGUACUCCACCAAGUGCUAAACCAGCGUGAAGGCAUGGCGAGAUUCCCACCAGCCAUUCCUGCAACUGACUCAGGAUGCAUCUCCCGUGGGAAGGAUGGCAGAGACCGUGAGAUGCUCCUGCGUGGAUGGCGCGUCAGUGGCCACGAACCGGGCAGCUGGGGCACCGCUGCUGCCUGCUGGUGA